rnacentral:rRNA from 1 species
GAAGCCAAGCUUGCUUGGUGGAUCAGUGGCGAACGGGUGAGUAACACGUGAGCAACCUGCCCUGGACUCUGGGAUAAGCGCUGGAAACGGCGUCUAAUACUGGAUAUGAGCUCUUACCGCAUGGUGGGGGUUGGAAAGAUUUUUUGGUCUGGGAUGGGCUCGCGGCCUAUCAGCUUGUUGGUGAGGUAAUGGCUCACCAAGGCGUCGACGGGUAGCCGGCCUGAGAGGGUGACCGGCCACACUGGGACUGAGACACGGCCCAGACUCCUACGGGAGGCAGCAGUGGGGAAUAUUGCACAAUGGGCGAAAGCCUGAUGCAGCAACGCCGCGUGAGGGAUGACGGCCUUCGGGUUGUAAACCUCUUUUAGCAGGGAAGAAGCGAAAGUGACGGUACCUGCAGAAAAAGCGCCGGCUAACUACGUGCCAGCAGCCGCGGUAAUACGUAGGGCGCAAGCGUUAUCCGGAAUUAUUGGGCGUAAAGAGCUCGUAGGCGGUUUGUCGCGUCUGCUGUGAAAUCCCGAGGCUCAACCUCGGGCCUGCAGUGGGUACGGGCAGACUAGAGUGCGGUAGGGGAGAUUGGAAUUCCUGGUGUAGCGGUGGAAUGCGCAGAUAUCAGGAGGAACACCGAUGGCGAAGGCAGAUCUCUGGGCCGUAACUGACGCUGAGGAGCGAAAGGGUGGGGAGCAAACAGGCUUAGAUACCCUGGUAGUCCACCCCGUAAACGUUGGGAACUAGUUGUGGGGACCAUU